CUUCUUCUUCUAUUUUUUUUUCUUCUUCUUCUUUUUUCUACGUGCUGACCUUCUUUGAUGCAGUUUGCGAAAACGCCGCACAGUGUGGUGUUUUUGCGGCGU
rnacentral:ribozyme from 1 species